UACGUAGGGGGCAAGCGUUGUCCGGAUUCAUUGGGCGUAAAGAGCUCGUAGGCGGCUUGGCAAGUCGGGUGUGAAACCUCCAGGCUCAACCUGGAGACGCCACCCGAUACUGCCGGGCUAGAGUCCGGAAGAGGCGAGUGGAAUUCCUGGUGUAGCGGUGAAAUGCGCAGAUAUCAGGAGGAACACCGAUGGCGAAGGCAGCUCGCUGGGACGGUACUGACGCUGAGGCGCGAAAGCGUGGGGAGCAAACAGG
rnacentral:rRNA from 1 species